AGUGAGACUCCAUCUCAAAAAAAGAAAAAAAGAAGAAGAAGAAAAGAAAUAACAGAAGAAAAUGGAAUUGGCAUUGAAAUCUAGGAAAAUUAUUCUAUUAUUUUAAAAGCAUUUUUUAACCUCCUAAGUAUCAAGUGUAGAAAAUCUUCAUGGAAUUCACAAAGUAAUUUGGAAAUUAGGUUCAAACAUAUUUUUCUUUCUUGUGAAAAAAUGGUAGUAUUUUAAACAAAAUAGAAGGUUGCAAGGCAAAUGUUUACCUAUUUAAAAAGAGCAAAUUUGCUGGGUGCAGUGGCUCACGCCUGUAAUCCCAGCACUUUGGGAGGCCAAGGCAGGUGGAUCAUGAGGUCAGGAGAUCGAGACCAUUCUGGCCAUGGUGAAACCCUGUCUCUACUAAAAUACAAAAAAUUAGCCGGGCAUGGUGGCGCAUGCUUGUAGUCCCAGCUACUCAGGAGGCUGAAGCAGGGGAAUCACUUGAAUCCAGGAGACGGAGGUUGCAGUGAGCCAAGAUCAUGCCACUGCACUCCAGGCUGGUGACACAGCAAGACUCUGUCUCAAAAAAAAAAAAAACUAUUUCCAAAUACCAUAGAAUAACUUACAUGAAAUAUAACUGUAUUGUAAGUAGAAGCUAGCACUGGUUUUAUUAAUUUAGUGAUUCCAUUCAUUUUAUCUAAAUCAGUGGAGGUUUACUGUCAUUGUUUAUUAGUCUGUAUAUAUUAAAAUAUGCUGUCAUUACUGUACUUGUAAAAUAGUAUGUCACUGUUUUUGUGUUCACUCUUAAAAAUGUAACCUAUAGGCCGGGCGCGGUGGCUCAAGCCUGUAAUCCCAGCACUU